UACGUAGGGUGCAAGCGUUGUCCGGAAUUAUUGGGCGUAAAGAGCGUGUAGGCGGCUCGAUUAGUCCGCUGUGAAAGUCCAAGGCUCAACCCUGGAAUGCCGGUGGAUACUGUCGAGCUAGAGUCCGGAAGGGGCGAGUGGAAUUCCUGGUGUAGCGGUGAAAUGCGCAGAUAUCAGGAGGAACACCUAUGGCGAAGGCAGCUCGCUGGGACGUGACUGACGCUGAGACGCGAAAGCGUGGGGAGCAAACAGG
rnacentral:rRNA from 1 species